rnacentral:lncRNA from 1 species
CACAGAGAAAACAUCAACAAGAGUCUUUUAUUUCUACAAAAUUACAUUGGCGUGACUUCAUGCCCCUGAAAAUGGCAAGAGCACCUGAAGCAGUAAGGGAAUAGGGAGGAAAAGCACUCGAGUACAAAGCAAGGCAGGUAAAAAUCAAUACUUCAUCAAGUACACACUAGCGCCCUGCUAGUUCAGGCAUGCUUCUUUCCUUCCAUUUCAGUUAAGUUCUCAUUGUGGUCGACAGGUAAGGCCAGUCGACAAAAAUCGACUCAGUCCUAUAUGUUACCAUCGUACCGACAGAAUGCAUAAACAUUGUGUCAUGUCGACAAUAUUCCAGUACAUGCACAGGUUGAAAUGGGAAUACUCAAAAUCUACGAGAUACAGCCAACUACCCAUACAACACGUCAAUCCGUCAACAAUUUUAUUAUAUUAAAUAAAGCAGAGAUCAAGAUAAACAUCCUUCGUACAUUACAAACCAAUACUAAAGUGGAGCAAAUAACUCCUAUUGCACAGACAAUAGGAAAACCAAAACCUAAAGUAAAAUGUCAACUGAAUAGAUAGAUAGUGUUGGUGCGUGAACUCUAAAACAGCAUUCAAAUGUGGUUCAUAAGUAGUUAUAUAAAAAUUUAGUUAAUUUUCACACUGAUAUACAAUAGAAAAUGUUUUAUGAAUCAUCUAGGCCUAUGUUGAACAUUAAGGACUUUGUAGCGUAUAUCCUUUUUUAGGAGAAAUCUAUCAUAUAAACUGUCACAAGAAUGAGAACAUUCCGUAAAAAGUUUUAAAUGUCAGAAAAAAAUUACAAAAGCAGUAAGCAAAAUUGUAUAAAAUCUGCAAAGUUGAAAUGGCAGAGAAAAAGAGAGAGAGAGAAAAGGUGGAGAGAGCGAGAGAGAGAGAGAACGGGGGAGAGAGAGAGCAGAGGACUAGUAGAUGGAGAGAGAGAGAAGGGGGGAGAGAGAGAGCAGAGGACUAGUAGAUGGAGAGAGAGAGAAGGGGGGAGAGAGUAGAGCAGAGGACUAGUAGAUGGAGAGAGAGAGAAGGGGGGAGAGAGUAGAGAAAGUGAUUGGCAAGACGCCUGGUACAGUUUAUAGAUGUACUGUGAGUGUGUAUACUGUAUGCUACUCAUAGCUGUGUCAUAGUCACCCUGUCCGUUCCAAAGAUCCAUAUCUCGUGUACAUCUUGGCAUUAGGAGAGGCAUGUACUGCGCUGCACACGGCCAACAUCGAGCAGCAGAAUCUUUCUUUCUACCAAGGCGAAGCAUGGCAAACUAUCCUACUGCAUCUGAAAAAGCUUGUAUUUAAAAUAAAACAUUUUUAGAAGGACAGACAGCCCAAAAAGGCAUUUUCAAGUCAACUGGUACCAAUACUCUUCAUGUUGUUGGCUGAACCUCAGUGUAGAUUGAGACUUUCAUAAUCUCUCCAUGUCCGUCGAUCUUUAGCCCACCUGCCACUACAGACAGAAGGGGAAAAAAUGUGAAUUCUUCUAUUGAAUAGGAAUGACCACAGCAAUUAACAGUAUAUUGCCUGUAUGAAGUUCCUAUUUUGUAGACAUAAAUAUGUAAAAUAUUGUGACAACAACAUUUCUACGGCUCCAACUGAGCAUACAUCAGCAGUUACAAUGCAUCUGUAACCCCUCCUCCAGACAUCACCUAAUCUGUAUUCUAGAUGAAAGGACCCACCUUCAGCCCUCCUCCUCCUCCAGACAUCACCUAAUCUGUGUUGUAGAUGAAAGAACCCACCUUCAGCCCUCCUCCAGACAUCACCUAAUCUGUGUUCUAGAUGAAAGGACCCACCUUCAGCCCUCCUCCUCCUCCAGACAUCACCUAAUCUGUGUUCUAGAUGAAAGGACCAACC